GGCAAAAGCUCAAAUUUGAAAUCUAGAGCCUUUGGGUUCUUGAGUUGUAAUUUGAAGAGGAUGCUUCGGUUGUGGCCUAGGUCUAAGUUCCUUGGAACAGGACGUCACAGAGGGUGAGAAUCCCGUACGUGCCCGGUGGCCGCGCCCGUGUGAAGCUCUUUCGAC
rnacentral:rRNA from 1 species